rnacentral:rRNA from 1 species
UACGUAGGGUGCGAGCGUUGCCCGGAUUUAUUGGGCGUAAAGGGCGCGUAGGCGGCCACGCACGUCCGUUGUGAAAUCGCCCGGCUCAACUGGGCGGGGUCAGCGGAUACGGUGUGGCUCGAGCAAGCUAGGGGGCAACGGAAUUCCCGGUGUAGUGGUGGAAUGCAUAGAUAUCGGGAGGAACACCAGUGGCGAAGGCGGUUGCCUGGAGCUUUGCUGACGCUGAGGCGCGAAAGCGUGGGGAGCGAUCCGG